GUCUACGGCCACACCACCCUGAACGUGCCCGAUCCCUGUCUGAUCUCGUGAAGCUAAGCAGGGUCAGGCCCAGUUAGUACUUGGAUGGGAGACCACCUAGGAAGACCAGGUGCUGUAGGCA
rnacentral:rRNA from 1 species